GUACCCGGCCGUUAUUGAAAUUCUUGACAAUACCGUCCGGUAUGGGCUAAUUUUACUUUUUGAAAUGAACGAUCUCGAGCAUGCGCAGUUAGGCAUUGUUGUUCCUCUACGCCGCUUCGAAGAUGGUAGUGUGUCACAGAAAGCCACGGUACAGAAAUUGUCUACCAGUAUUUGACGUGAGAGGGCCAAGGUUCCUCACUAGAACAUUAGGACCGGUUCUUAUUAAAAAGGUCUGACAUUCCAGCUAGAUCUACAUUGUAUACCUUAUAAUGAGAGAAAACACCAGAAACUAUUUCCUGAGGAACAUGUAUAAACUAGUGAAUUGAUGGUUUAACUACCAAGAUGUAACGAGAGAC